rnacentral:hammerhead_ribozyme from 1 species
GCUGAGGAGUCCCACAAUAGGACGAAACGGUCGUCC